CAGUAGCCGCGGUAACACGUAGGUGGCAAGUGUUGUCCGGAAUUAUUGGGCGUAAAGGGCUCGCAGGCGGUUUCUUAAGUCUGAUGUGAAAACCCCCGGCUCAACCGGGGAGGGUCAUUGGAAACUGGGAAACUUGAGUGCAGAAGAGGAGAGUGGAAUUCCACGUGUAGCGGUGAAAUGCGUAGAGAUGUGGAGGAACACCAGUGGCGAAGGCGACUCUCUGGUCUGUAACUGACGCUCAUGCACGAAAGCGUGGGGAGCAAACAGGAUUAGAGACCCCAGUAGUCCCUGUCUCUUAUAC
rnacentral:rRNA from 1 species